rnacentral:rRNA from 1 species
GACGAACGCUGGCGGCGUGCUUAACACAUGCAAGUCGAACGGAAAGGCCCUGCUUUUGUGUGGUGCUCGAGUGGCGAACGGGUGAGUAACACGUGAGUAACCUGCCCUUGACUUUGGGAUAACUUCAGGAAACUGGGGCUAAUACCGGAUAGGAGCUCCUGCUGCAUGGUGGGGGGGGGAACGUUUCGGCGGUAGGGGAUGGACUCGCGGCUUAUCAGCUUGUUGGUGGGGUAGUGGCUUACCAAGGCUUUGACGGGUAGCCGGCCUGAGAGGGUGAACGGCCACAUUGGGACUGAGAUACGGCCCAGACUCCUACGGGAGGCAGCAGUGGGGAAUAUUGCACAAUGGGCGGAAGCCUGAUGCAGCGACGCCGCGUGCGGGAUGACGGCCUUCGGGUUGUAAACUCCUUUCGCCUGUGACGAAGCGAGAGUGACGGUACUGGGUAAAGAAGCACCGGCUAACUACGUG